UAGGGAAUAUUAGAAAUGGACGCAAGUCUGAUCUAGCAACACCGCGUGUGCGAUGAAGGCCUUCGGGUUGUAAAGCACUUUUUGGAAGGAUUAGGAAGGAAUGUACUUCCAGAAUAAGUCUCGGCUAACUACGUGCCAGCAGCCGCGGUAACACGUAGGAGGCGAACGUUAUCCGGAUUUACUGGGCGUAAAGCGCGUGUAGGUGGUUCUGUAAGUAGGGCGUGAAAGCUCCUGGCUCAACGGGGAGAGGCCGUUCUAAACUGCAGAGCUAGAGGAUGGUAGAGGGAGGUGGAAUUCCGGGUGUAGCGGUGGAAUGCGCAGAUAUCCGGAGGAACACCAGUGGCGAAGGCGGCCUCCUGGACCAUUCCUGACACUCAGACGCGGAAGCUAGGGUAGCAAACGG
rnacentral:rRNA from 1 species